CGGGACGGGUGAGUAACGCGUGGGUAACCUGCCUUAUACAGGGGGAUAACAGUUGGAAACGGCUGCUAAUACCGCAUAAGCGCACGGCAUCGCAUGAUGCGGUGUGAAAAACUCCGGUGGUAUAAGAUGGACCCGCGUUGGAUUAGCUAGUUGGUGAGGUAACGGCCCACCAAGGCGACGAUCCAUAGCCGACCUGAGAGGGUGACCGGCCACAUUGGGACUGAGACACGGCCCAA
rnacentral:rRNA from 1 species